UUUAACUUUUUAUUUUCUGGGUUUUUUUUUUUCCCUUUCCUUAAUAUUAUUUUCUAAUUCUGUUUUUUUUUCUCAUUCUUUUUCUUUUUUUCAUUUUUUCCCCUCUUCUUUUCUGACUCCCCUUCUGUUUCCUAUUAUUUUCUAUCUUUUUUAUUGUUUUCUCUUUUUCCCAACCCCUUGUUCCAUUUCUUAUUCUUUUACUUGUCUGUUUUCUAUUUCUUUUUCAUAUUUUUUCUCUGUCUCUUUCUUAUUCUAAAUACUUUUCUAAUUCUUUUUCCCUGUCUAUGUCUUUUUUCUCUUUCCAAUUCUUUUUACUUUUCUAAAUACUUUUCCAAUUUUUUGCCAAUUCUUUUACUAGUUCUAUUUCUUCUGCACUUCCUAGUUCAUUACCUAUUUUUUUCCAAUUUGAAUUCUUUUUCCAAUACGCUUUCUGUUUCUAAUUCUGCUUGUGUUCCUGAUUCUAAACUGUCAGGUGUGGGCCUGAGGCAGUGACGGAGCACCUGGUGGGGGUGUGAACAGCCCAGGGAGCACAGGUGGAAGCAAUUCCCCUGUGGGCUGGGAUAGGGAGGGGCCAGAGCCCACCCUGAGCUCAUUUAAAGGCUGGCAGCUGAAGGGGAAGGGUCUGCGCCUGCGGGUUGCUCUGGCUGUUUGGCUGCUGUUGAGCAGAAGGUUCUGGACACCAGGACUCCUUUCAAGCGGUGUGAGGACUCCCCUGAGGGCCUUGGUGGACACAGCAGGAAGCCACAGCCAACGCUGCACACCGACAUCCACAGUUGAUCUUGUCUGGCAAGGGCUAUUGCUCCCAGAGAGCGUUUUUGCUCUUCUGGCCAUUCGACGGAAUUGGUGUCAGUUUCUACUCGUGCUCCCUGGGCUUUCCAAGGGUGUUCUCCUUACUUGACACCAUCUUUCCCGCCCUCACUUUCCAAGCAGGAGCUCCCCUUGGCCUCCGUGUCUCGCUCUGGCCAGGCAGACGUGGUGUGCCAACGGUACGCAGAGUCCAGACCCUGAGCAGAAGAACAACUGAGGAGAGAGGCUGCCCUGGGUGAGACAGGAGAAGUGUCCCUUGAAGCAGGGGACGCCCCGCUGGCGCUGCCUCUCGCAUCCACGGGCAGCGCGUUCCUUCUCUCUCCUUGCCGCCCGGCGCUUUGCCGUCUCCCAGGGCUCGCCAAGUCCAAAUGUUCCCUGAUGGAGUCCAACUCCAGCUUGACCAACACUCACCCCGUCUUGUCCCCGCACCAGCUGACUUAGGGCUCCCCAGCACUGCUGGCUAUCGGUGUCUUCUGUCGCUCCCAAUCAGCAUGGCUCUGUUCUUUGCCUUUUGGGUUCCAGAGCAUUUGCUACGGGUUAUGGAGUGUUUCUCUUCUUGUCUUCCAUGUUGCCCGUUGGCGCCUCGGUGGAGUUUCAGUGACCCAAACGCAGACGGCUCUGCGUUGACCAAGCGUGAUGCCAAGAGAAGAGGUAGGCACCAGAGCAGGCUGCUGGACUGGAGACUCCAGCACCAGGUGCCGUUGUCAUUCCUGACCUCCCCGGGUUGUGGCGUUGGACAUGCCCUGAUCCUUAAAAAGGGGUAAGAGAG
ensembl:lncRNA